AUGAUGGCUAGGAAAAGGGAUCUACGGGAAUUGAGAGAACCUAAUACUCCAUUCUUGGUUGUCCUGUACAAGGAAACUUUAUUGGCUGCUAAUGAUUUACCCUCAACUCUUCCUAGUGUUGUUUUUGAUCUUUUGUGGGAGUAUGAUGAUGUGUUUCCCAAGGAGGUACCACCUGGUUUACCACCAAAGCGGGGCAUUGAGCACCAAAUCGACUUGGUUCCAGGUGCCCCACUACCAAACCGACCACUGUACCGAGCAAACCCGGAGGAGACGAAGGAAAUUCAGAGGCAAGUAGAAGAUCUUCUUAACAAAGGGUAUGUAAGGGAAAGUCUUUCUCCUUGUGUUGUUCCCAUUCUUUUAGUUCCAAAGACAGAUGGUACCAUGCGCAUGUGCACUGAUUGUAGAUCCGUUAACAACAUAAUUGUGAGAUAUCGCCACCCUAUUCCUAGGCUCGAUGACAUGCUUGAUGAACUUUGUGGCUCCACCAUAUUUUCUAAAAUCGAUUUAUGA
rnacentral:rRNA from 1 species